UCGUCACACUAUCAUUAACUGAAUCCAUAGGUUAAUGAGGCGAACCGGGGGAACUGAAACAUCUAAGUACCCCGAGGAAAAGAAAUCAACCGAGAUUCCCCCAGUAGCGGCGAGCGAACGGGGAGGAGCCCAGAGCCUGAAUCAGCAUGUGUGUUAGUGGAAGCGUCUGGAAAGGCGCGCGAUACAGGGUGACAGCCCCGUACACAAAAGCGCAUGUGCUGUGAGCUCGAUGAGUAGGGCGGGACACGUGGUAUCCUGUCUGAAUAUGGGGGGACCAUCCUCCAAGGCUAAAUACUCCUGACUGACCGAUAGUGAACCAGUACCGUGAGGGAAAGGCGAAAAGAACCCCGGCGAGGGGAGUGAAAAAGAACCUGAAACCGUGUACGUACAAGCAGUGGGAGCCCCACCACUAAGCCAGUGGUGAACUCCACAUACGCAUCCUUUGCUGAGGAUACGGUUAACGGAGCGAAAGCGACGUUCAACCUCAAAAGAAGCAGAGGGGGCUUAGUGGUGGGGUGACUGCGUACCUUUUGUAUAAUGGGUCAGCGACUUAUAUUCUGUAGCAAGGUUAACCGUAUAGGGGAGCCGGAGGGAAACCGAGUCUUAACCGGGCGUUAAGUUGCAGGGUAUAGACCCGAAACCCGGUGAUCUAGCCAUGGGCAGGUUGAAGGUUGGGUAACACUAACUGGAGGACCGAACCGACUAAUGUUGAAAAAUUAGCGGAUGACCUGUGGCUGGGGGUGAAAGGCCAAUCAAACCGGGAGAUAGCUGGUUCUCCCCGAAAGCUAUUUAGGUAGCGCCUCGUGAAUUCAUCUCCGGGGGUAGAGCACUGUUUCGGCUAGGGGGCCAUCCCGGCUUACCAACCCGAUGCAAACUGCGAAUACCGGAGAAUGUUAUCACGGGAGACACACGGCGGGUGCUAACGUCCGUCGUGAAGAGGGAAACAACCCAGACCGCCAGCUAAGGUCCCAAAGUCAUGGUUAAGUGGGAAACGAUGUGGGAAGGCCCAGACAGCCAGGAUGUUGGCUUAGAAGCAGCCAUCAUUUAAAGAAAGCGUAAUAGCUCACUGGUCGAGUCGGCCUGCGCGGAAGAUGUAACGGGGCUAAACCAUGCACCGAAGCUGCGGCAGCGAACGUAUCACUUAAAGCGAUUCAGCGGAUGACGAUUGACGGAGCGAAGCGACGUCAAAGCGUAUACAAAGUCGAGUCGGUUUAAGGAUACGUUCGUUGGGUAGGGGAGCGUUCUGUAAGCCUGCGAAGGUGGCCUGUGAGGGUUGCUGGAGGUAUCAGAAGUGCGAAUGCUGACAUAAGUAACGAUAAAGCGGGUGAAAAGCCCGCUCGCCGGAAGACCAAGGGUUCCUGUCCAACGUUAAUCGGGGCAGGGUGAGUCGACCCCUAAGGCGAGGCCGAAAGGCGUAGUCGAUGGGAAACGGGUUAAUAUUCCCGUACUUGGUGUUACUGCGAAGGGGGGACGGAGAAGGCUAUGUUGGCCGGGCGACGGUUGUCCCGGUUUAAGCGUGUAGGUGUGUGUUCCAGGUAAAUCCGGUUCACUUUAACACUGAGGCGUGACGACGAGGCACUACGGUGCUGAAGCAACAAAUGCCCUGCUUCCAGGAAAAGCCUCUAAGCAUCAGGUAACAUCAAAUCGUACCCCAAACCGACACAGGUGGUC
rnacentral:rRNA from 1 species